rnacentral:rRNA from 1 species
GAUGAACGCUGGCGGCGUGCCUAAUACAUGCAAGUCGAGCGAACAGACGAGGAGCUUGCUCCUCUGACGUUAGCGGCGGACGGGUGAGUAACACGUGGAUAACCUACCUAUAAGACUGGGAUAACUUCGGGAAACCGGAGCUAAUACCGGAUAAUAUAUUGAACCGCAUGGUUCAAUAGUGAAAGACGGUUUUGCUGUCACUUAUAGAUGGAUCCGCGCCGCAUUAGCUAGUUGGUAAGGUAACGGCUUACCAAGGCAACGAUGCGUAGCCGACCUGAGAGGGUGAUCGGCCACACUGGAACUGAGACACGGUCCAGACGCCUACGGGAGGCAGCAGUAGGGAAUAUUCCGCAAUGGGCGAAAGCCUGACGGAGCAACGCCGCGUGAGUGAUGAAGGUCUUCGGAUCGUAAAACUCUGUUAUUAGGGAAGAACAAAUGUGUAAGUAACUAUGCACGUCUUGACGGUACCUAAUCAGAAAGCCACGGCUAACUACGUG